GGGACAGAUGAUUGGGGUGAAGUCGUAACAAGGUAGCCGUAUCGGAAGGUGCGGCUGGAUCACCUCCUUUCUAAGGAUAUUAUACGGAA
rnacentral:rRNA from 1 species